rnacentral:rRNA from 1 species
UACGGGGGGAGCAAGCGUUGUUCGGAUUUACUGGGCGUAAAGGGCGCGUAGGCGGUCGUGACAAGUCACUUGUGAAAUCUCCGGGCUUAACUCGGAACGGUCAAGUGAUACUGUCGGACUAGAGUACAGAAGGGGCAACUGGAAUUCUCGGGUGUAGCGGUGAAAUGCGUAGAUAUUGGGAGGAACACCAGUGGCGAAGGCGGCUCGCUGGACCGGUUCUGACGCUGAGGCGCGAAAGCGUGGGGAGCAAACGGG